CGCAACAUGUCCUUCCUGCAGGACAGCAACGUGUUCGACCCGGCCUACUUCCAGUUCGCCAGCGGGCUGGUACUGGGCGUGAAGGCGAGCAGUGCUCCGGCGCACGCCUACGGC
rnacentral:ribozyme from 1 species